rnacentral:rRNA from 1 species
UACGGGGGGAGCAAGCGUUAUUCGGAAUCACUGGGCUUAAAGGGCGCGUAGGCGGGCGGCCAAGUCAGGGGUGAAAGCCCCCAGCUCAACUGGGGAAGUGCCUCUGAUACUGGCCAUCUUGAGGGAGGUAGGGGCGUGCGGAACUUCCGGUGGAGCGGUGAAAUGCGUAGAUAUCGGAAGGAACACCGGUGGCGAAAGCGGCGCGCUGGACCUCUUCUGACGCUGAGGCGCGAAAGCCCAGGGGAGCGAACGGGG